rnacentral:sRNA from 1 species
AUGUCUGAAGAAAUUACUUAUGCAGAUCUUAAGUUCCAGAACUCCAAUGAGAUGGAAAAAAUCGAAGAAAUUGGCAAAUUUGGGGAAAAAGCACCUCCAUCUCGCUCUCGUGUAUGGCGUCCAGCAGCCUUGUUUCUGACUCUUCUGUGCCUUCUGAUGCUCAUUGGAUUGGGAGUCUUGGCAAGCAUGUGUAUGUACUGCUCCUGUUUUGGUCAAAAGAGAAAGUGUCUGGAAUUUCAAAUAUUUAACAACAAAAGUUUACUCCUUGAGUGGAAGAUUUAUAAUAAUGACAGGUGACAGGCCCACAAGGAGGACUUACAAUGUGGAACUUAGUCUCUUUCCCUCACUCCUGUAGAGUAAUUGCUUUUCCUACCCCUUUAAUCUUUAUACUACUUCUGCAAAUGAUAAAGGAUGAUGGCUCUAUUGAGAAUUUACAAUUUUUUGUCAUUUUUUUAAUGUGGAGUUCACAUAACUUUGAAGAUAGAAAUGAAAAAAAUGAACAAACUACAAAACAUCAAUGAAGAGCUCCAGAGAAACUUUUCUCUACAACUGAUGAGUAACAUGAAUAGCUCCAACAAGAUCAGGAACCUCUCCACCACACUGCAAACAAUAGCCACCAAAUUAUGUCGUGAGCUAUAUAGCAAAGAACAAGAGCACAAAUGUAAGCCUUGUCCAGGGAGAUGGAUUUGGCAUAAGGACAGCUGUUAUUUCCUAAGUGAUGAUGUCCAAACAUGGCAGGAGAGUAAAAUGGCCUGUGCUGCUCAGAAUGCCAGCCUGUUGAAGAUAAACAAUAAAAAUGCAUUGGAAUUUAUAAAAUCCCAGAGUAGAUCACGUGACUAUUGGCUGGGAUUAUCUCCUGAAAAUGGUUACACUCCUGAUAUGAGAGUGGAUAAUAUAAUCAACUCCUCUGCCUGGGUUAUAAGAAACGCACCCAACUUAAAUAACCUCCAUUGUGGAUAUAUAAAUAGACUAUAUGUUUACUAUUCUUACUGCACUUACGAAAAAAGAAUGAUAUGUGAGAAGAUGGCCAAUCCAGUGCAGCUUGGUUUUAUACAUUUUAUGGAGGCAUGA